CCUUACCUUCGCGUAACAAUUAGGUUCCUUCUAUCCACAUGCAGCACAACAUCUCGACUGUUAAAUUGACGAUCCUAACAGAUGGUUUCUGUCAUUCUCAACAAAUGUUUGCAAAUUACAAAAUCCCACUUCUUUGAACAGUAUGGUAUACAAUCAAAUUUUGGACAUAGUAUAACUUUUUCAAUACAAAACUUACAGUCCGCCUUUGCCACGUCAUAAGUUGAAGGAACUUCAUCAUUGUCCAAGUACAACACUUCGGGCCAGUUGCCUAGACCAAGAUACAACAACAAAUAAAAAUUUCAUAUCAUAAUAUUUCAUACAUGUUAAUGCCUAACACACGUGUAAUGUUUGCAUGAACCAAUGUUGGACGGGACAGAUGACAGCCAAACUGAUCUUUCGAGAAAAUGUUAUGUGUCAAGAAAAACUGGCUGUAACUGUUGAUCUCGACAGAUCGUAUAUCGAGAAAGAUAGUUAAUCUUGAAGAUGACUCAACUCAUCUGUCGAUAUUUAGCCAUCUGUUGAAAAUUACUGCUAUUAAUUGUCAGGAACGAUAGUUCACUGCGAUGUCAUUUGUCUACUGAAGUGAACUGUUGGGAAUUUACUUUUGACCUAUAAACCACCAAAAUGAUAAAGGAGUAAAAGGUAUUAAAGAGUUCAUAAACGCUGUUUCAUGCCAUUUAUCUUAAGCAUUAAUAGUACAAUAUUGCAAAAUUGUUGAAUUAAGAAGUCUCCAUUUGACCUUCUAAAACACCAAAAUAAAUCAAUGAUAGAAGGGAAAAAAUAGUACUUAUAAGAGUUCGUAAAUGAGUAAAUUUUGCCAUCAAAAUGAUCACUUAUUAGCUUUUCUUAAAAAUAAAUCAUAUUGGUGUUCCUUUCCAACCAAACAAAGUCCGUCAAUCUUUGCAUCCUCCAAGAGAUAAUUUGAAUGAGCUCGUCGUCAAAUUUAAGUAAGAUAUAUUUGACAAUGUAAUUUUAACAUAUCACGACGAUAUAAUCAAAGAUGUGUCCAAAUAAAGAAGAGAAACCAUAUGUAUAUUUAAUCAAUUCAAGAAAAUUAACAUAAAAAAGAACAUGAAAAACAAUAAUGAGGGGGAGGGGGGGGGGGGGGGGGGUUAGUUCAAUCUCUAUUAAACACAUCAGAAAAAUCCAAUUACAUGCACAAAGUUAUAUGAAGCAUAUGCUAAAGCUAGUGAUGGACAAAAGAAUCAAAACCAAGUUAACAAAAUUGAAUCGAUGGGUUCAGUUUUUCCUUAAAUUUUAGUGGUUUUAGUUCAUAGAAGUUUUGAGAAUCGAGAAUCAGCUGAUUAACUUGUUCUUGGCUAUAGAAAUUAGAAUUUUUUUCAAGUUUAAGCACAAACUAGAGAAUCAAAGAAAAAACGGAGUCUACCAAGAUGUACUUGCAUAUUUUGAACACUCGUUUCAUUGCUAUUUUGCUCAUCACAAGAACAGCAAAUUUAGUUAAAAGUAUUUUUCAUAACUGAUACAAACAAUAGGUGAAAAAUUAAUCCCUCUAUCAAUAAUCACAAAAUAAACCUCACAAUUGCGUAAAGUUUCACAUUGCCUAAUAAUGCCACCUCUAUUUUGAAUUUUUGAUGAAGUUCCCAAAGUACAUCUCACAUAUCACAAACACAAUUCACAAAUCAAUUAUCCAAAGCAAAUUUACAAAUCAUAAAUUGACAAAAUCACAAAUUCAAGAGAUUGAUAAAUACCAAUAGGUUAUAAAAGCAGAUGAGUUCAGCCAUUCAAAAAUCACAAAUUCUGAUAUUCAUAAAGUCAUAUAACUGUUAAUGUAUCGAACUUAUCACCUCGUUUAAGGCUUGAACUGUUAUUGGCAGGCGACCAUGAGGACUGAAAGCAAGUACCAAAGAUGAGAGGAGGAGUAGGCAGCAACGCUCGUGACUAAAUAGUUUGCGGUUUUACCAUUUGUAGUUUUCCCUUUCCAAUCAUUGAAUCGCUGACAGGAGGGAGCCAGGGAUGGGAUUUUAAAUUGCUGAGUUAGUGGGUUUUGCUUCAGAGUUUGGUAAUGGAAAGUGGGAGGUUUCUCUCGUGAAUGUUGAUAGCAGGGAAUGGUUAUUGACUUAUUUCAAUUGAAUUUGGUUUUGGUUUUUCAAUUUUUUUCCAAAAUUUUGAGUACAAUUGUGAGGUGAUUGUUUGUCACAUUUUUUUUUAUUUUUUGUACCACUUUUUUAUGUUGUCAAGCUAAGGAUGUGUAGGAUAUUUAAAUUUUGUAGAGGGGCAAAAAUGUUCAAAAAUGACAAUCUUACAAAGAUUUUGAAAAUGUAAAACCAAAAAUUGACAUUGAGCACAAUUUCCUCUAUUUUUAUUAUACACUGAUUGUUUGUCCCUUGUUUCUGGAAACAACCCUUUUCAAACUAAUUAAACGUAGAUGAUUUAAAAUCAAAUUUGUCAUUCACUCGAUUCACCAUUAGAUUUUAC
rnacentral:lncRNA from 1 species